rnacentral:rRNA from 1 species
UACUCCUACGGGAGGCAGCAGUGGGGAAUUUUGGACAAUGGGGGCAACCCUGAUCCAGCCAUUCCGCGUGAGUGAAGAAGGCCUUCGGGUUGUAAAGCUCUUUCGCAAGGGAAGAAAACUUAGGCUCUAAUAUAGCCUGAGGCUGACGGUACC